rnacentral:rRNA from 1 species
UGGGGAAUAUUGCACAAUGGCCGAAAGGCUGAUGCAGCAACGCCGCGUGAGCGAAGAAGGCCUUCGGGUUGUAAAGCUCUGUUGCCUGCGAAGAAGGGCCCUGUCAGGAAAUGGGCGGGGUUUGACGGUAGCAGGCGAGGAAGCCCCGGCAAACUACGUGCCAGCAGCCGCGGUAAUACGUAGGGGGCGAGCGUUGUCCGGAAUUACUGGGCGUAAAGGGCGUGUAGGCGGCCUGUUAAGUCAGGGGUGAAAGACCGGGGCUCAACCCCGGGGGUGCCUCUGAAACUGGCGGGCUUGAGUGCUCUAGAGGGCAGUGGAAUUCCCGGUGUAGCAGUGAAAUGCGUAGAGAUCGGGGGGAACACCAGUGGCGAAGGCGGCUGCCUGGGGAGUCACUGACGCUGAGGCGCGAAAGCUAGGGGAGCAAACAGG